GACGAACGCUGGCGGCGCGCUUAACACAUGCAAGUCGAACGGAAAGGCCUGCUUUCCCUUGUGGAUUGCGGGUACUCGAGUGGCGAACGGGUGAGUAACACGUGAGUGAUCUGCCCCCAACUUGGGUAUAAGCCUGGGAAACUGGGUCUAAUUCCCGAUAGGACUGCAGGGUGGUGCCUGUGGUGGAAAACGAUUUUCUAGUGGUUGGGGAUGAGCUCGCGGCCUAUCAGCUUGUUGGUGGGGUAAUGGCCUACCAAGGCGGCGACGGGUAGCCGGCCUGAGAGGGUGGACGGCCACAGUGGGACUGAGAUACGGCCCAGACUCCUACGGGAGGCAGCAGUGGGGAAUAUUGCGCAAUGGGCGGAAGCCUGAUGCAGCGACGCCGCGUGGGGGAUGACGGCCUUCGGGUUGUAAACUCCUUUCGACCGCGAGGAAGCCACCUGGUUGGAAGGGUGGUGACGGUAGUGGUAGAAGAAGCACCGGCUAACUACGUG
rnacentral:rRNA from 1 species